rnacentral:rRNA from 1 species
GUGCCAGCCGCCGCGGUAAUUCCAGCUCCAAUAGCGUAUAUUAAAGUUGUUGUGGUUAAAAAGCUCGUAGUUGAACCUUGGGCCUGGCUGGCCGGUCCGCCUCACCGCGUGCACUGGUCCGGCCGGGCCUUUCCCUCUGUGGAACCCCAUACCCUUCACUGGGCGUGGCGGGGAAACAGGACAUUUACUUUGAAAAAAUUAGAGUGCUCCAGGCAGGCCUAUGCUCGAAUACAUUAGCAUGGAAUAAUAAAAUAGGACGCGCGGUUCUAUUUUGUUGGUUUAUAGGACCGCCGUAAUGAUUAAUAGGGACAGUCGGGGGCAUCAGUAUUCAACUGUCAGAGGUGAAAUUCUUGGAUCAGUUGAAGACUAACUACUGCGAAAGCAUUUGCCAAGGAUGUUUUCAUUAAUCAGGAACGAAAGUUAGGGGAUCGAAGACGAUCAGAUACCGUCGUAGUCUUAACCAUAAACUAUGCCGACUAGGGAUCGGACGGUGUUAUUCAUGACCCGUUCGGCACCUUACGAGAAAUCAAAGUGCUUGGGCUCCAGGGGGAGUAUGGUCGCAAGGCUGAAACUUAAAGAAAUUGACGGAAGGGCACCACCAGGGGUGGAGCCUGCGGCUUAAUUUGACUCAACACGGGGAAACUCACCAGGUCCAGACACAAUAAGGAUUGACAGAUUGAGAGCUCUUUCUUGAUUUUGUGGUGGUGUGCAUGCCGUUCUUAGUGGUGGGGUGCUUGUCUGCUUAAUUGCGAUAACGAACGAGACCUUAACCUGCUAAAUAGCCCGCAUUGCUCCGGGCAGUGCG